AGAGUUUGAUCAUGGCUCAGGAUGAACGCUAGCGGCAGGCUUAAUACAUGCAAGUCGUGGGGCGGCAUGGGGUAGCAAUACUCUGAUGGCGACCGGCAAACGGGUGCGGAACACGUACGCAACCUUCCUUUAACUGGAGAAUAGCCCCUCGAAAGAGGGAUUAAUACUCCGUAACAUGAUGAUAAGGCAUCUUAUUAUUAUUAUAGCUCCGGCGGUUAGAGAUGGGCGUGCGCCUGAUUAGGUAGUUGGCGGGGUAACGGCCCACCAAGCCUGCGAUCAGUAACUGGUGUGAGAGCACGACCAGUCACACGGGCACUGAGACACGGGCCCGACUCCUACGGGAGGCAGCAGUAAGGAAUAUUGGUCAAUGGACGCAAGUCUGAACCAGCCAUGCCGCGUGGAGGAUUAAGGCCCUCUGGGUUGUAAACUCCUUUUAUCUGGGAAGAAAUCCACGUAUUCUUAUGUGGUUGACGGUACCAGAGGAAUAAGCACCGGCUAACUCCGUGCCAGCAGCCGCGGUAAUACGGAGGGUGCAAGCGUUAUCCGGAUUCACUGGGUUUAAAGGGUGCGUAGGCGGGUAAGUAAGUCCGUGGUGAAAUCUCUGAGCUUAACUCAGAAACUGCCGUGGAUACUAUUUGCCUUGAAUAUUGUGGAGGUGAGCGGAAUAUGUCAUGUAGCGGUGAAAUGCUUAGAUAUGACAUAGAACACCAAUUGCGAAGGCAGCUCACUACACAAUCAUUGACGCUGAGGCACGAAAGCGUGGGGAUCAAACAGGAUUAGAUACCCUAGUAGUCC
rnacentral:rRNA from 1 species